UACGUAGGUGGCAAGCGUUGUCCGGAAUUAUUGGGCGUAAAGCGCGCGCAGGCGGUCCUUUAAGUCUGAUGUGAAAGCCCACGGCUCAACCGUGGAGGGUCAUUGGAAACUGGGGGGACUUGAGUGCAGAAGAGGAGAGUGGAAUUCCACGUGUAGCGGUGAAAAUGCGUAGAGAUGUGGAGGAACACCAGUGGCGAAAGGCGACUCUCUGGUCUGUAACUGACGCUGAGGCGCGAAAGCGUGGGGAGCAAACAGG
rnacentral:rRNA from 1 species